AUUGAACGCUGGCGGCAUGCUUUACACAUGCAAGUCGAACGGCAGCGCGGGCUUCGGCCUGGCGGCGAGUGGCGAACGGGUGAGUAAUACAUCGGAACGUGCCCAGUAGUGGGGGAUAGCUCGGCGAAAGCCGGAUUAAUACCGCAUACGACCUGAGGGUGAAAGCGGGGGAUCUUCGGACCUCGCGCUCUUGGAGCGGCCGAUGGCAGAUUAGCUAGUUGGUCGGGUAAAGGCCUACCAAGGGGACGAUCUGUAGCUGGUCUGAGAGGACGAUCAGCCACCUUGGAACUGAGCCACGGCCCAGACUACUACGGGAGGCAGCAGUGGGGAAUGUGGGACAAUGGGCGAAAGCCUGAUCCAGCAGUGCCGCGUGUGUGAUGAAGGCCUUCGGGUUGUAAAGCACUUUUGGCGGGAACGAAAAGGACUGUGCCAAUACCACGGUUCGAUGACGGUACCCGCAGAAGAAGCACCGGCUAACUACGUG
rnacentral:rRNA from 1 species